rnacentral:rRNA from 1 species
GGAAGUAAAAGUCGUAACAAGGUCUCCGUUGGUGAACCAGCGGAGGGAUCAUUACAGAGUCUAGCGACUCCCAAACCACUGUUAAUCUACCGUACCGUUGCCUCGGCGGGCUGCCUCUGGGAGGGGCCGCAGCUACGCCCGCCGCAGGUCUUAAAACUAUACCUAUUUUUGUGGCACUUCUGAGCAAACUUCCAAACAAUCAAAACUUUCAACAACGGAUCUCUUGGUUCUGGCAUCGAUGAAGAACGCAGCGAAAUGCGAUAAGUAAUGUGAAUUGCAGAAUUCAGUGAAUCAUCGAAUCUUUGAACGCACAUUGCGCCCGCCAUCUUGGCGGGCAUGCCUGUCUGAGCGUCAUUUCAACCCCCAAGCACCGCUUGGUGUUGGGGCACUACGGGCAACCGUAGGCCCUGAAAACUAGUGGCGGACUCGCUGAAGGUCCGGGCGUAGUAGUAAUAUCUCGCCCGCGGUCCCCAGCGCGCUCCGGCCGUUAAACUCCCCAAUCUUACAGAAGGUUGACCUCAGAUCAGGUAGGAUUACCCGCUGAACUUAAGCAUAUCAAUAAGCGGAGGA